GGGGGUGCUCAUACAUCGAAAAAUACGAACAUUGUCAUUUUGCAAUCCGUCACUGCUUGAUGUGACGUUAAUACCUCAAGCACCAUUCAAAUGCAAACAGCAUUGUAAGCAGAGUAAAGGCCGCGAUCGCGCAAGCGUUCGCACCGAGCUUUGCGUCAGUUGUAGCCUAAUUUAGACUGCAGCCGUCAGCACCCUAGGCCUGAAUGGGGUGAUCCUGGCGUCAUACUUCAGGAUGCAGCUAAAGUGAGCCUCGCGCUUUGGCCAAGACUAUGAGGAUAGUGGUACGCAUGUUUUUCCUGUUCUAAGUGCGUGCCGCGAAACCAUUAAACAGGAUAUGAUUGUAGACUGAUGGCUUUGCCUUAUUUUCACGCGGGAGAAUAGCCCGCCACCUCCACCA
rnacentral:tmRNA from 2 species